AUGGCGUUGGAGAGCUGCAGGACCUCGGUGUUUACCUUCCAGUCGUCAGUGCACAGCUCACACGUGCUGCGAUGUCUGGACGAGCAGAGGCAGAAGGAUCUCCUCUGCGACGUGACGGUGGUGGUGGAGAACCGCAGUUUCCGGGCCCAUCGCUCGGUCCUGGCCUCAUGCAGUGACUACUUCAGCGCCCGCAUGUCCAGCCAGACAGGCCAGGGACUCGUGGUCAACCUACCAGACGACGUAUCUGCUGAGGGAUUUGAACCUCUGUUGCAGUUCGCCUACACAUCAAAACUGCUCUUCACCAAGGAGAACGUGCUGGAGAUCCGUAACUGCGCCUCCGCGCUGGGCUUCAAAAACCUGGACAGCGCCUGCUUCGACUUCCUCCUGCCCAAGUUCUUCAACAGCAGCAAAAGUUCUCAGAUGGGCUUCCAGAGGAAGCGCUGCUGCAGGGAUCUCUGGAAAGCCAAGGCUGACCCGAGCUUUAAUGAAAAUGACGCCGAUAAUGCUCCAGGCGACUCUCCACCGCCUCCGAACUCCAGGGCUGCGCCGGAGAACACGGAGAACGAGCCGAACUGCUCCUCAAACCUCGAUAAAAAUGCAGCAAGUCCGUGUCACAGCGAGACGAAGGCAGAGGCCCGAGCGAAGUCGUACUACUUCUGUCCGAAAUACAAGUUCCUGCAGGCCUGCGGGAAAGCCCAGGCCCGCGUGGACGCCGAGGCUGAGAACGCCGAGAGCAUCUGCUCUCUAACCCGCCUGCCAUGUUCAGGAUCAGUUCCUGGAUCCACCUCAACAGAAAGCUGCCCAACAGCUACGCAGUCUUCAAUCGAAGCGCCUCGAAAUCUCUGCUCGGCACAGAUCUGCCCCAUGAUCGCCUCCUGCGCUCUGGGACGCUCCGCUCCUAUCUCUCCACCUUCUAAAGACGAUAUAGAAGGCUCCUCUAUAGAUCGUAGUUCUGAAACCGACUGCCCGAGAAGUUCUCGGAGGAGCAGCGUGGAGAUGGAGGUAGCCAAUCAGCUCAGCACCUGGCCCACCGUCUGCAGCCUGCAGCCUUUACUCCCGGCUCCGGUGCCCUGCCCGGGCGCGGUCAUGAAAAGCCCGGAGCUGCACUGCCCGUUUCUCAGGGACGUGGGCGCAGCGAGCGAUCGGCCACGAGGCUGCGAGGUGUCGCCCGUCUCAGCCGAGUGUCGCUACACCUCCUCCGUGAACUCGGACGAAGACUCCGAUAGCUCGGACUCGGAUGGGGACAGCGAGUCGGGCCUCAGAGAGCAAGCGAGUAAGAUGCAGCUGCCGUUGUCCGUGGAGCGCAUCACGUCCAUGAGCCGCAACGACUUCCAGAACUUCCUGAGGACGUACCAGCUGACCCGCGAGCAGCUCGACUACGUGCACGACGUGCGGCGCCGCUGCAAGAACCGCAUCGCCGCCCGCCGCUGCCGCAAGAGGAAGCUGGACUGCAUUUACAGCCUGGAGCGUGAGAUCAACAGACUGCGGAGCGAGAAGGAGACGCUCACGGCCGAAAAGCGGCAGCUGGACCAGAUGAGGCUGAAGACGUAUCAGAGCUACUCUGUGCUAUACGACAGGCUCUGCGCCGAGGCCAACCUGGGGCCCGAGCAGCUACAGGUACUGGCCAAGUACACGUCUCUGGUCGAGUGCCCAUUUUCCGCCCACAUGUCCACCAAGGCGCACAUGUACCAGUGCUGCACUGAACCUGAACUCCAGCCCCUGGCACCAGGUUCGGGCAUCGACUCUGAGCCGCCGCACAGAGAGAACGGUCAGCUGGCUUCCAUCUCUCCAGACCAAAUGAACGGACUCGAUACAGACGAAUCAUGAGGUGCUUCCUUCUCUUCUACACGUGGUUAAAUCAGGAACAUGCAGCGUGCAGUAACUCGUUUUGGUUUAUGAAGAAUUAUUUAAUGCCGACAAUCAGCGUAUCAGAUCACCUCUAUUCUUUUUUCUCCCUGUUUUUGUACAUUAUAUUUUUCUCGUGUAUGCCGAGUCCUCUCUGGAUUCAGGAUUCAGAAGGAAACCGGAGCACCUGUAGGAAACCCAGGUAGACAAGGGAGAACAUGCAAACUCCAC